GAUGAACGCUGGCGGCGUGCUUAACACAUGCAAGUCGAACGGAAAGGCCCAAGCUUGCUUGGGUACUCGAGUGGCGAACGGGUGAGUAACACGUGGGUGAUCUGCCCUGCACCUCGGGAUAAGCCUGGGAAACUGGGUCUAAUACCGGAUAGGACCACUUCUUGGAUGUUGUGGUUGAAAGUUUUUUCGGUGUGGGAUGAGCUCGCGGCCUAUCAGCUUGUUGGUGGGGUAUUGGCCUACCAAGGCGUCGACGGGUAGCCGGCCUGGGAGGGUGACGGGCAACAUGGGACCGAGAAACGGGCCCGGACUCCAACGGGGGGAGGAGGGGGGGAUAUUGGAAAAAGGGGGGGAAGCCUGUGGAGGGAAGGCGGGGUGGGGGAGGCCGGCCUUGGGGUGGUAACUCGUUUCGCUAGGGACGAAGCGUUUUGUGACGGUACCUGGAGAAGAAGCACCGGCUAACUACGUG
rnacentral:rRNA from 1 species